AUGAACGCUGGCGGCGUGCUUCACCCCUGCAAGUCGAACGAUGAAGCCCAGCUUGCUGGGUGGAUUAGUGGCGAACGGGUGAGUAACACGUGAGUAACCUGCCCUUAACUCUGGGAUAAGCCUGGGAAACUGGGUCUAAUACCGGAUAGGAGCGCCUACCGCAUGGUGGGUGUUGGAAAGAUUUAUCGGUUUUGGAUGGACUCGCGGCCUAUCAGCUUGUUGGUGAGGUAAUGGCUCACCAAGGCGACGACGGGUAGCCGGCCUGAGAGGGUGACCGGCCACACUGGGACUGAGACACGGCCCAGACUCCUACGGGAGGCAGCAGUGGGGAAUAUUGCACAAUGGGCGAAAGCCUGAUGCAGCGACGCCGCGUGAGGGAUGACGGCCUUCGGGUUGUAAACCUCUUUCAGUAGGGAAGAAGCGAAAGUGACGGUACCUGCAGAAGAAGCACCGGCUAACUACGUG
rnacentral:rRNA from 1 species